rnacentral:rRNA from 1 species
UACGGGGGGGGCAAGCGUUGUCCGGAAUUAUUGGGCGUAAAGGGCUCGUAGGCGGUCUGUUGCGUCGGGAGUGAAAACUCAGGGCUUAACCCUGAGCCUGCUUCCGAUACGGGCAGACUAGAGGUAUGCAGGGGAGAACGGAAUUCCUGGUGUAGCGGUGAAAUGCGCAGAUAUCAGGAGGAACACCGGUGGCGAAGGCGGUUCUCUGGGCAUUACCUGACGCUGAGGAGCGAAAGUGUGGGGAGCGAACAGG